rnacentral:rRNA from 1 species
GAUGAACGCUGGCGGCGUGCCUAAUACAUGCAAGUCGAGCGAACGGACGAGAAGCUUGCUUCUCUGAUGUUGGCGGCGGACGGGUGAGUAACACGUGGAUAACCUACCUAUAAGACCGGGAUAACUUCGGGAAACCGUAGCUAAUACCGGAUAAUAUUUUGAACCGCAUGGUUCAAAAGUGAAAGACGGUCUUGCUGUCACUUAUAGAUGGAUCCGCGCUGCAUUAGCUAGUUGGUAAGGUAACGGCUUACCAAGGCAACUAUGCAUAGCCGACCUGAGAGGGUGAUCGGCCACACUGGAACUGAGACACGGUCCAGACUCCUACGGGAGGCAGCAGUAGGGAAUCUUCCGCAAUGGGCGAAAGCCUGACGGAGCAACGCCGCGUGAGUGAUGAAGGUCUUCGGAUCGUAAAACUCUGUUAUUAGGGAAGAACAUAUGUGUAAGUAACUGUGCACAUCUUGACGGUACCUAAUCAGAAAGCCACGGCUAACUACGUG